UCAUGCUAGACGUUUUACGUAUGAUUCAGGUUGAUUUGAAAACCGGUGUGCAGAAGCCGAUUGCGUGGAUUGACGAUGCGGAUGGAUCGUGCUACUUGGAUGUACUAUACUGCACGUAAUACCAACUUAUACACGGAGCAUGUUCAAAGUUUUCUUAAGGUUGCCGAAGCUAAUCGGGUGAAUAAAGGAAGUGGAUCGAUAUGUUGUCCUUGUACAGUUUGUAAAAAUUUUAAAAGAUUUAGU
rnacentral:lncRNA from 1 species